GACGAACGCUGGCGGCGUGCCUAACACAUGCAAGUCGAACGGAACUGUUUUGAAAGAUUUCUUCGGAAUGAAUUUGAUUUAGUUUAGUGGCGGACGGGUGAGUAACGCGUGAGUAACCUGCCUUCAAGAGGGGGAUAACAUUCUGAAAAGAAUGCUAAUACCGCAUGACAUAUCGGAAUCACAUGAUUUUGAUAUCAAAGAUUUUAUCGCUUGAAGAUGGACUCGCGUCCGAUUAGUUAGUUGGUGAGGUAACGGCUCACCAAGACCGCGAUCGGUAGCCGGACUGAGAGGUUGAACGGCCACAUUGGGACUGAGACACGGCCCAGACUCCUACGGGAGGCAGCAGUGGGGGAUAUUGCGCAAUGGGGGCAACCCUGACGCAGCAACGCCGCGUGAAGGAUGAAGGUUUUCGGAUUGUAAACUUCUUUUAUUAAGGACGAAAAAUGACGGUACUUAAUGAAUAAGCUCCGGC
rnacentral:rRNA from 1 species